rnacentral:rRNA from 1 species
UUGACCUCGAAUCAGGUAGGGAUACCCGCUGNNCUUAAGCAUAUCAAUAAGCGGAGGAAAAGAAACCAACCGGGAUUACUCAGUA